GAUGAACGCUGGCGGCGUGCCUAAUACAUGCAAGUCGAGCGAACAGACGAGGAGCUUGCUCCUCUGACGUUAGCGGCGGACGGGUGAGUAACACGUGGAUCACCUACCUAUAAUACUGGGAUAACUUCGGGAAACCGGAGCUAAUACCGGAUAACAUGUUGAACCGCAUGGUUCAACAGUGAAAGACGGUUUUGCUGUCACUUAUAGAUGAAUCCGCGUCGCAUUAGCUAGUUGGUAAGGUAACGGCUUACCAAGGCAACGAUGCGUAGCCGACCUGAGAGGGUGAUCGGCCACACUGGAACUGAGACACGGUCCAGACUCCUACGGGAGGCAGCAGUAGGGAAUCUUCCGCAAUGGGCGAAAGCCUGACGGAGCAACGCCGCGUGAGUGAAGAAGGUCUUCGGAUCGUAAAACUCUGUUAUUAGGGAAGAACAAAUGUGUAAGUAACUAUGCACGUCUUGACGGUACCUAAUCAGAAAGCCACGGCUAACUACGUG
rnacentral:rRNA from 1 species